rnacentral:rRNA from 1 species
UACGUAGGGUCCGAGCGUUGUCCGGAAUUACUGGGCGUGAAGCGCGCGCAGGCGGCCCGCGAGGUGUCACGUGAAAGCCCCGGGCUCAACCCGGGAGGGUCGUGGCAAACCGGCGGCUUGAGGCCGGUAGAGGUGGGUGGAACUCCUGGUGGAGUGGUGAAAUGCGUAGAGAUCAGGAAGAACACCCGUGGCGAAGGCGGCCCACUUGGGC